rnacentral:tRNA from 1 species
UCCCUGAUAUUUCAGUUGGUAAAGAAUCUGCCUUCAAUGCAGGAGACCUGGGUUCGAUUCCUGGGUUCGGAA